rnacentral:rRNA from 1 species
GCAUAAUCAUUUGCCCUUUAAUUGGGGGCUGGAAUGAAUGGAUUUACGUGACUAAAACUUUUCCCUAACAACCCUAAAAAUUAUCCUUUAGAUGAAGAGAUCUAAAUUAUAAUGGAGGACAAAAAGACCCCGUCGAGCUUUACACAAAAUUUAUAUCAUUAUUCAACAUGUGUUUGGUUGGGGCGACCAAGGAAUAAACAAAUCUUCCUCUACAUAAAAGGACCCUUAUCCACCUUAUAGACCCUAUCCUGAUCUAAAGAUAAGCUACCGCAGGGAUAACAGGCUAAUCCCCUUUAAGAGUCCACAUCGACAAGGGGGU